GACGAACGCUGGCGGCGUGCCUAAUACAUGCAAGUAGAACGCUGAAGAGAGGAGCUUGCUCUUCUUGGAUGAGUUGCGAACGGGUGAGUAACGCGUAGGUAACCUGCCUUGUAGCGGGGGAUAACUAUUGGAAACGAUAGCUAAUACCGCAUAACAAUGGAUGACACAUGUCAUUUAUUUGAAAGGGGCAAUUGCUCCACUACAAGAUGGACCUGCGUUGUAUUAGCUAGUAGGUGAGGUAAUGGCUCACCUAGGCGACGAUACAUAGCCGACCUGAGAGGGUGGUCGGCCAAACUGGGACUGAGACACGGCCCAGACUCCUAAGGGAGGGAGCAGUAGGGAAUCUUCGGCAAUGGGGGCAACCCUGACCGAGCAACGCCGCGUGAGUGAAGAAGGUUUUCGGAUCGUAAAGCUCUGUUGUAAGUCAAGAACGGGUGUGAGAGUGGAAAGUUCACACUGUGACGGUAGCUUACCAGAAAGGGACGGCUAACUACGUG
rnacentral:rRNA from 1 species